rnacentral:tRNA from 1 species
GAAGGUAUAGCUCAGUGGUAGAGGGCAUGCUUAUCUUGCAUGAGGUCCUGGGUUCAAUCCCUAAGACCUCCA